rnacentral:misc_RNA from 1 species
AUAUGCAAAUCUGUUUCAGAAAAAUGUAGGUUUUAAAAUGGUUCGUGCUCUUCCAAGAGUUAUUUCUCCACCUAGUGCAUCCAACCUUGCUCCUAUUUUGUUGAACCCUGACACUUCUCAGGGCGUAACUGACUCACCUAGUCCUGUUUCAUACAACACUAUUAAUUCCCAAGAUACAACCAUCUCAUACUGUCCUGUUCCAGGUAAAUCAUCCUCUCCGACAUAUGAUGCCCAAGGGUGUCAAUCGUCCGACGAUCCUGAAGGAUCUUCCAGCAUUAAUGAAUACUCAGAUGAAUCUACCCUUAAUAUUGAACAGAUCCUCAACCUCACGGAGAAAUCUCUCGAUAUUGAAUCUCAGAAUAUCUUAAUUGUUACAGAGUCGCUUGAAGAAAAAAAUCGGGCUUCAGCGCCAGAUGAGAAGGAUGUUGAAGGUUCAGAGGAUGAGAAAUGGCAUGAUGAGGGUUUAGUGGGGGAAACUAAUCUAGGUGUACUACCAGACUUUAACUCUCUUCUUCAAUUAAAUCCAUCAACAACUUCUUCAUCUUCUUCGAAUUCGUCUGUUUAUUCCCCGCUUAUUCUUGAACAGUUUUCCUCUCCUAGCCUGGGUUCAGCUUCAUCCUAUAAAUUACCACUAACCCUUGGUUAUAUUCAACCAAGAGAGUUUAAGAAGAAAGCUAAGUCUUUUCCAGAAUACAGUGAUCUUCAGUCUUCCAGUUCCUUUACAGGUUUUCUCAGAUCUAAGGUUUUAAUGCAGAACACAAUAAAUCUUCCAAUCUGUGAUCUACAAUUACUAAUAAGAGAAUUAGCUGCGGAUAAUGAAAGGUUAAAGAUGGCUGUGCAUCAAACAAACAUUUAUCUUCUGAAAGAAAAGGCUGUUAUCUCGUAUUGGAUUGGAAAGCUAAAUGUUUCUCCUCUAGAGGGUGAGAAGACAAAGGAUUCUAAGAGUGGAGCUGAUUCUAAUAUAUCCGUCCAGAACCUUUCAAGUCAGCUCGAUGUAGCAGAGGAGGCUCAGGUUCAACUUUCACAGGAUCUACAGCGAGUAACAGCUGAGAAACUAGAACUUGUAAACCAUGUCUCCAGUCUCCAGCUUCAGCUGGAGCAUAGUAGACUGGAGAAACAGCAUGGAUUGGAAGAACUUGAUCGCCUCCAGCAAGAGAAAUGGGAACUGUCAGCUGUCAACACUGAUCUUCAACAGCGUCUUCAACAGACAGUUGCUCUUGCACAUAUGCAGGCAGAAGGGAAGGAUACGCGACUACAGGAGGAGUUGGGAACUUUACUAGUCCAGCUAGAAGAGGAAAGACAAGUGACCGCCAGGCUAAGUAAAAGCCUGGAACUUGAACGAAGGAAGGUUGAAAGUCUAGAGCAAAAAUCAAAGGGUUCCUCCGGGAAGAAGGACGGAGCUAGGAGAAGAUCAUCCCUUCUCCCUGAGGAAAUAAGAGAUAGUGAGACGCGACUUGUUGCAAGCAUGGAGCUUUACAGACAGCGCUGUGAUAAUCUUGGCGUAAGCCUUGCGGGUUGUCAGCAACAGCUUGAUCGAGACAGCUGGCAACCUGAUCUAGCAACAGAGAUAAAUAAGCUGCGGAAGCUGCUAAGUGAGGAGAAAAGAAGCUGCUAUGGAGAAGGUGCACGGUUAAAUGAAGUUCAUCAGCUCUUUGAACAGGUUUACCAUGAUUAUACAAGUGUACUGGAGACCAUGAAACAAUCCCAGCAGGAAAUAAAGAAAAUAAAGGGUCAAUCUGUUCUCGAGAAUAUCAAGGAAUCUAAUAUCAGGGAUAACAUGGAUAGUCUUACCGCCAGGUUGAUGGAUACAGAGGAAAGUCUUAUUAGAGAGAAGGAAACUUGUAGAACCCUUCAGGUACUUGUAGAACCCUUCAGGAAAGAUUGGCUCAAGCUGAGUUGGAGGUUGAGUCUUUGCCUUUACUUCGUGCCCAGGUUGAGGUAUACCAGAGUGAUUUUAACGCUGAGCGUGAAGCGCGUGAGCGUAUAGCUGGUGAGAAAGCAGAUUUAUUGGAUCAAAUUAACAAGAUGAGACAACAAACAGAUGCAGGAGGAUUAGAACCUAUCCCAGUACAACAGAGAACAAAUGUUUCACAACUUGGUAUAAGGACAGAA